GGACCAGCAGUGAGAGACUUCAGCCACAGACUGGAGAAGAACUAUGACUCAUGUUUCUGGUUUUUGUGCCCUGACUCUCCAGGAGGGAAGUAAUCUCUUUCUCUGAUACAUGUGUUUCAAAGGAUACAAAGUAGAGAGCUGACCUGAGGAAUCUGAAGGCCUUUCAGCCACAAAAAUCUGUACAUUUAUCAAAACCAACAAUUUUUCACAUAAGAUUCCUGAAAGACAGAGGAGUCAUCCUAACAGUAUUCGUAUCUAAUUGCCUCAAGGGACACCAGGAACAGAAAAUACUCUGUGUGUCUGACAAUUAAAGGCCAUUUGGCUGUUCCAGACUGCUGGCCAGUGAGGAAGAAAGGACAAUAUAUACUUUGCACAGCUGGAGAAAAAUGCUGAUGUGGAUGCUGGGAUGGUGAAGAGAGACAGGAACUGAUGAAAAUUAUGUAAG